AGGGGUCGUCAUAAAUUAUUAAGCAGAAAAUGAGGUUGGACUGUAAUAUAACUGAUGCUACAGGGCUAAUUAUUACAUUCCCUAGAUAUAAUGGUAGGUGACUUGUAACCUCAUCUUAAAAUCCUUACCAGCUGUGAGAAUGAGUUUGGAUUAAUGAACCCUUAUAUUGUGCAGUCUGCCAAGAUAUGGGUUGGUACAAUAUACUUUCCCUCCUAAAAAUGUAGGGAACCGUUAUCUGAUCACCCUUUUUGCUUCCAUCUUUCUAACUGCUCUAGAAUGAUCGCUGGUCUGCUAUGUUUUACCAGCCACAUAGUGUUUUGGUAAUUAGAAAUGUUUGGUUUUCCAAGAAUUGAUGGACUUUUUAGCCAUAGCACAGUAGCAGUUUUGAAGCUGAAUUUGCUCACAGGAUAAAAAACAUGGUGAACACUAGAAAUUGCUUCAAAUUAUGAUGCAUAAUGGGCUUAUAACAUGAUCAGCUUUUUAAAGAGAGAAUUCUGCUUCUAGACAAGGGUUUUUUUUUUAUAUGACUGCCCCACACUCAUUGAUUUUAAUAAUAUACUAUUUUUUAUUUAUUUAUUGGUCGGCAGCCAUGUUUUUUGGCCACAAAACUGCACUUGUACUUGGCACACCCUCACACUUUAAUUUUCUGCAGUAUUUUACAGAGAUUAUACAUCACUGACAUCAGUUUAGUGAAGUGAUGCUCUUAAGGAACUUCCUCCAUAUUUUUGGAGUGUGGGAGUAAACCAGAGUGUCUGAAUGAAACCCACACAAGCACAGGGAGAAUAUAAAACUCCUUGCAGAUACUGCCCUGAAACAUAUGAGCCCAGCACGUCAGGGCAGCAAUGCUACCCACUGUUGCCCACCAUUGUGCAAUGUUUUCAAGAUCAAUGAAGACUUAUCGGUGGAGUGUAUGUAUUUUACUGAAUCUGUAGGACUGGGCUGCCUGGCUAUUUACUCCCUUGUGUUUUACAGAUGAAUUAUACUUGCCUGAGCCACCAAUCUGCCAUAUGCUUCCUACACACAGGCAUCCAGAGUUCUGAUGAGGUGACUUUAUCUGUAGAGGAAACCCAGUGUGCAUAGAGAAGGCAGGUUUCUCAGUGAAAGAUGCUUUAAUUGAGAUGUAUCUGAAACUUGUGCCUGGCCAGAUGCUGUUCAAUUGCAACAGUUUCCCACACUUUAUUGGGGAUUCAAGAGAAUUCUACUAGGUGGAUAACCACCGCCAAUAACCAUUAUUUAUCAUAUGUAAUUAGCACUAAAGCUUUGCUGUCUUUUAUCAUAUUCAUAUCACACAUCAAAAUGACAGAUUCAGUGCUGCUAGGUGUGUGGAGCUAGAGGAAAUGGGUUUAAUGCUUUCAAGUAAGACUCAAUAAAAAAUAAUAUGCAGUUGGGUGUACAUAAAGUUCUUUUUUUAUUAGCAAUGAUGUUUUGUGUCCAGCACUUAUGUUGCUUAUCUAUAACUCGAAUAUGUUACAGUAUGCUAGGAGUUGAUUGCUUAACCAAGACCCAGGGCUGUAUUUAGGUCAAGUGGCAACCUAGGUACUGGUACGGAACGCAUUUUUGGACAUCCCCCGGUGAAAUACCUGUCCUUCAUGCGAUGUCCUACGGCUUAGGAAUGCCGCAUCGUGUGAUUUUACCGUCACCCAUCCUCCAAAUCUGCAGUCAUACCUCCGUCCUCUACCCUCCCUUCUCAGCCAUCAGCCAUACAAACUUUGCCCUCAGCCUUCCGCCCUCCUCCCUCAAUCCUACACCUUCAGCCCUCCGCCCUCUUCAUUCAGCCCUCUUUCCUCAGCACUCAGCCUUUCUCUUUACCUCUUCAGCCCUCCGCACUCCUCCCUCAAAGAGGUCCACUCACAAAACCAAAGACCCCUAUUGGCUGUGAAAAUGGCGCCAAAUGCGAAAGUUAAAAAAAAAAGAGCUCUGACGGGGGAGAGCGGAGAGUGAAGUGCGGAGGGUAGAGGGCUGAGCAGGGAGGGCAGAAGGUGGAGGACUGAGGGCAGAGGAAAGAGAGCAGAGGACUGAGGGCGGAAUUCGUAUGACUGAUGGCUGAGAAGGGAGUGUAGAGGACGGAGGUAUGACUGCAGAUUUGGAGGAUGAGUGACGGUAAAAGCACCCUAUGCGGCAUUCCUAAGCUGUAGGACAAUACAUGGAGGACAGUUUGCUUUGGGGAUGAGGAAGUUCCAUGCAAAAAAGAAACGCUCUGAGCAGUCACAGCUUUGAAGAGGAUGCGGCGACUAUUAUAAAUAGGACUUCUUCAGUAUAAUGAGCACUGGCUAUUUGUCCAUCAAAGAUCUGACACCAAUCUAUUGGGACAAAUGCAUAUUUUAUUACAUGUACGCCUUUCAUAUUAUUGACUGAUAUGGCUUUCAUGCACAGGUGGAUAUUGUUUACAGAGGGCAUGAAAAUUUAGUUUCUGAUACAGCUGCCAAGCCAAAUAUUUACAUGUCAAACUCUUCUGGAGAAUGAAAAAUUUCCACACCUGUGCACUGGAGUAUCCUGGAGCCAGUUUUUCAUGACUGAAUAAAAUGCAUAAAGAGCAUUUUUUCACAUAAACAACUCAAUUCAUUAGCACAAAUGUUGCUUCUUGUAAAAAUGUUUCUGAUUUGUUUGCAUACUCCAUCUUAUGUAUAAAAUAUAUAUCAUAUAUGUUCA